GGGGCCUUGGGGGCCGGCCUUACAAUGCAGUCGAGCGGUAGCACAGGGGAGCUUGCUCCCCGGGUGACGAGCGGCGGACGGGUGAGUAAUGUCUGGGAAACUGCCUGAUGGAGGGGGAUAACUACUGGAAACGGUAGCUAAUACCGCAUAACGUCGCAAGACCAAAGAGGGGGACCUUCGGGCCUCUUGCCAUCAGAUGUGCCCAGAUGGGAUUAGCUAGUAGGUGGGGUAAUGGCUCACCUAGGCGACGAUCCCUAGCUGGUCUGAGAGGAUGACCAGCCACACUGGAACUGAGACACGGUCCAGACUCCUACGGGAGGCAGCAGUGGGGAAUAUUGCACAAUGGGCGCAAGCCUGAUGCAGCCAUGCCGCGUGUGUGAAGAAGGCCUUCGGGUUGUAAAGCACUUUCAGCGAGGAGGAAGGUGGUGAGCUUAAUACGCUCAUCAAUUGACGUUACUCGCAGAAGAAGCACCGGCUAACUCCGUGCCAGCAGCCGCGGUAAUACGGAGGGUGCAAGCGUUAAUCGGAAUUACUGGGCGUAAAGCGCACGCAGGCGGUUUGUUAAGUCAGAUGUGAAAUCCCCGGGCUCAACCUGGGAACUGCAUUUGAAACUGGCAAGCUAGAGUCUCGUAGAGGGGGGUAGAAUUCCAGGUGUAGCGGUGAAAUGCGUAGAGAUCUGGAGGAAUACCGGUGGCGAAGGCGGCCCCCUGGACGAAGACUGACGCUUCAGUGCGAAAGCGUGGGGAGCAAACAGGAUUAGAUACCCCUGGUAGUCCACGCUGUAAACGAUGUUGAUUUGGAGGUUGUGCCCUUGAGGCGUGGCUUCCGGAGCUUAACGCGUUAAAUCGACCGCCUGGGGAGUACAGUCGCAAGGUC
rnacentral:rRNA from 1 species